GUUCUGAGUUGCAGAGUAGGGCUGAACUCCCUGCAUUGUUCCUGGGCUAAUUCCGUUAGUAAAAAUGACCUGGGGAUCAGCCAGCAGGCGAAUGUAUCUGGUCUGCUUCAGUGGAAUCUUGCAGGAAGCUACCUAAUCCCAGGAAAGCCUACCCCAUUAUAGUCACAGGUCUGAUCCCUCCAAGGGAAGGGACAUGUAAGACAUGUACGCCAGAGGACAGGAUUUCUGGGACCAUCUUAGAAUUAUGCCUCAAUAGGCCUGAAGUCAUCAUUAUGUUAAAAUGCUGAGAUUCUGAGGGUCCUGUUGUG
rnacentral:lncRNA from 1 species